ensembl:lncRNA
GAGAAAAACAACAACAACUGCACAUUUUACAAAACAAAAACAUGUGCGAUGAUGUAACACCUGAAACCGAACUGAAACCGUCUAAUUGCUAUUGUGGGCAACUAGUUUGAGUUUUAUUUUGAUCCUUUCGGUAGAAGUUUUCUCCUUAUGACAAAAAACAACAGUGCAAGAGUUACAUGAAAAAUUUGAGAAACAAAAAAAAAGGACAAAUAAAGGAGGUACAGCAAAGAAAAAGAGGUGGCCCGGAGAAUAUCCACAUAUUUCCAACAUUAUUUAGAGAGGCCACCCUGUCGGCCGAAAAGAAAAAUCUCUGUGGAAAUAUAACAUCUCCAAAAGCUGUCUUUGGGCUUAUUUCCUUCAGUAGGCAAACUCAGUGACGUGGGAAGAGGAGGAGAGGAAGGAGGGGUGAGGGAUGAGGGGUGUACCAGACAGAAGCAAACAGAGAGAGCGGAAGAGAGAGAGAGAGAGAGAGAGAGAGAGAGAGAGAGAGAGAGAGAGAGAGAGAGAGAGAGAGAGAGAGAGAGGGAGGGAGAGGAGGGCUGGUCUGUCCUUCUCUGCUCCAGCUAGCCUUCUAUCUUUGGCUGUACUCUCGCCCCAGCUGCUGCUGGUUCAAAGUACGGUCACUGGCAGCGAACCAGCGGGAGGGCUGCGAAAAAACACCCACGCAGCCACUUCACACACAGAGGGAAGCAAAAAGAUGUCUUUGGAACGCACAAAAGCCCCAGAGUCAAGCCAAGUGUCACAUAACUACCAGUGCUUCUAAGCUGCAUUUGCAUCGCGUUUUUCUGAUUCAAACGGAAGGACGUCCACGUGUGCAUGUAUGUCUGUGAACGCAUAUAUCUGGGUCUGCACGCGUUAUUUGUAUAGCUGGGUGGAGCUCGCUCUCCGUCGCUCGCUGCAGUAUCAACCGUUAACACUAUGAGACAUCAUGCUGGGUGCAGCUCGCAGCUGAUGGAUGUUCGUGUGAGCUUUUUGCACCCAAAUGGCGGCAGUACUUUAGCAUUGCUGAGGGGACUCGGCCGUGUCAUAGCAGGAGUAAUUGCUCAGGUCCCAAAGGAGCCAAAGUGUUGAGAGCGAAGCUGUUUGUGUGAACCAUUCCUCAAGAAAGCUGCCAGUAGCAACACCGCAGGUUAAGCAAAACAGACCUUGCAAACAGGCCCGUCUUGAAGAGGCGCUGCACUGACAGGUGAGAAAACAAAUGAGCGAUUAAUAGGGUCUCCCUGGAGAGCGCCAACACAGCCGCAGCCAGGGCGGUUCCGGCCAGUCAAGACCAGUGCAGCUGCAGCAUUAUGCAGAAGUGGAACCCGUGACAGUCAGGCGACAUCUCUACAUUUUCCCAUCACGCCCCCUGCGAUGUACAACGCUGAGACACCACGACCACAAACUUCCUCUAUCUGUGACAGCAACCAAGAAGAGCGGCCAAACAACCAGGGACCAAGGCCCAACCUUUGGGCGGCUCUGCUUCCUGUGAUGAAAAUACCGGUGAAAAAAAACAAAAUCUGUGAGAAGGUCCAGCGAGUUUCUCCUUUUCAGCUGAAUGACGACAUUGAAAGAAAACACUGAAGCAACCUUCAGCCACUUUGAUGACCUUUUGAAAUGGAUCGUGGGGCUAACGUUUUCCAUCUUAUAAUGAACUGUCCGGAUCCUUUGAAGUCUCAGCAGUCUACACCAGCAGUGCCUCCAAGCUGUGGAAGCCCUGGCGUUGUAUAACCAGUAGCCUGUUUUGCUAUUAACAUGUCUCACUAGUCGCCAUGAAAAAAGGAAGAACAAAGCCCAGAUCUCAGGAGAGCAGCUUUUUAAAAAUAUUUAUGUCACCAAUUGUGGCAUGUUGGAGCAGUUCAGUCAGCUUGCACAAUUUAAAGUCCAGCUGAAAAGCAGAGGACCCUGUGGACCCUCUUUGUGUUUACAUACUGUGCAAGUCUGACACUCUGACAUUUGUGAGACGGGAUGUCACACAGUCGUUGGCUGCACAUCAUUGUUUAUUUGGACAUUGUAGCUACGUGGUUAACCAUCACGCAACGUUUUGUUCCAAACGGCCUCAACGUGCAUCUUUGUCCCCAAUAUUGGCUUCCACUAUUUGUUCUAGUUAGUCGGACUGAUACUGCAUGCAAGUGAAUUUCCACGUGUCAUUAGAAGCAGCAUACUGUUCACUGUUAAGUGUGUAAGCGAAUAAGAAACAUUGUGAAAUGAACCAAGAGCUCCACUGUGAAAGGUCCCGACUGGGCUGUCAAGACUACAACUUUUAUUAUGUUGACUUUAUUACACUUUUUGAC